rnacentral:misc_RNA from 1 species
GAUGAAGAACGUAGCGAAAUGCGAUAAGUAAUGUGAAUUGCAGAAUUCAGUGAAUCAUCGAAUCUUUGAACGCACAUUGCGCCCGCCAGUAUUCUGGCGGGCAUGCCUGUCUGAGCGUCAUUUCAACCCUCAUGCCCCUAGGGCGUGGUGUUGGGGAUCGGCCAAAGCCCGCGAGGGACGGCCGGCCCCUAAAUCUAGUGGCGGACCCGUCGUGGCCUCCUCUGCGAAGUAGUGAUAUUCCGCAUCGGAGAGCGAUGAGCCCCUGCCGUUAAACCCCCAACUCUCCAAGGUUGACCUCAGAUCAGGUAGGAAUACCCGCUGAACUUAAGCAUAUCAAUAAGCGGAGGA